AUAGCUAUAUAUAUCAGGUUGAGCCGGGUCAGUACCUGGAUGGGAGACCUCCUGGGAAAACUAGGUUGCUGUU
ensembl:rRNA 5S_rRNA 5S ribosomal RNA